rnacentral:misc_RNA from 1 species
GGGAAAUGCAAGAUAUGCAGGAGGAAGGCACAACAUCAAGGAGCAACCGGCAGGGGCCUCGAUAUUUCAUAAUUUGCAGAAAAUUAGCAAUGACAUUGGAGACAGGUUGGAGCUGAGUUGAAGCAAAGCCUCUCUUUUCAGCAUUCACAAUUGUACGCAAUGCAUCGUUCAAUAUUCGCCGGCCCAUUUCCAUGGCGUACUGAUUCU